AACUUUUACAAUGCGGGAAACCGUGAUAAGGGGACACCGAGUGCCAGCAACAUUUGUUGGCUGUCCAGGUGUGUAAACUACACCUGUUAGCAAGGCCGGCAAGACCGGUGCCAGCCGCCGCGGUAACACCGGCGGCCCGAGUGGUGAUCGUGAUUAUUGGGUCUAAAGGGUCCGUAGCCGGUUUGGUCAGUCCUCCGGGAAAUCUGACGGCUUAACCGUUAGGCUUUCGGGGGAUACUGCCAGGCUUGGAACCGGGAGAGGUAAGAGGUACUACAGGGGUAGGAGUGAAAUCUUGUAAUCCCUGUGGGACCACCUGUGGCGAAGGCGUCUUACCAGAACGGGUUCGACGGUGAGGGACGAAAGCUGGGGGCACGAACCGGAUUAGAUACCCGGGUAG
rnacentral:rRNA from 1 species